UACGUAGGGGGCGAGCGUUGUCCGGAAUCAUUGGGCGUAAAGCGUGCGCAGGCGGUUUUGUAAGCCAGAUGUGAAAUCCCCGGGCUUAACUUGGGAAUGGCAUUUGGGACUGCAAGGCUCGAGUGCGGCAGAGGAGACUGGAAUUCCUGGUGUAGCAGUGAAAUGCGUAGAUAUCAGGAGGAACACCGAUGGCGAAGGCAGGUCUCUGGGCUGACACUGACGCUCAUGCACGAAAGCGUGGGGAGCAAACAGG
rnacentral:rRNA from 1 species